rnacentral:rRNA from 1 species
UACGAAGGGGGGCUAGCGUUGCUCGGAAUCACUGGGCGUAAAGGGUGCGUAGGCGGGUCUUUAAGUCAGGGGUGAAAUCCUGGAGCUCAACUCCAGAACUGCCUUUGAUACUGAAGAUCUUGAGUUCGGGAGAGGUGAGUGGAACUGCGAGUGUAGAGGUGAAAUUCGUAGAUAUUCGCAAGAACACCAGUGGCGAAGGCGGCUCACUGGUCCGGUUCUGACGCUGAGGCGCGAAAGCGUGGGGAGCAAACAGG